GCCCGCCUAGCUCAAUCGGAUAGAGCGUCAGACUCUUAUAAGCUCCUCAAGUGGGUGUUGUGGGUAAUCUGAAGGCUGCGAGUUCGACCCUCGCGGUGGGCU